rnacentral:lncRNA from 1 species
AUGGAGCAUCAUCAGCAAACCCGGAGAACUGAAAGUAAAACUCCACUCAACUGGACCUGCAUUAUGAUCUGGGUGAUUUCCCUUGGGACAAUAAUAGCGUUGUCCAAAGAGAACUUAGGUCAUACUAAAAAUGUUUGGGUGCAAUUAGCUGAAUCCUUAAAUUUGUCUGAAAUAUGUUUAAAUGCUGAUGUGAAUUUUCAUUAUGUGCUUGGAAGUUGUUUGGUUCCAGUAUGCACCCCACUUAAAAGUAUUAGACCAUAUUCUAUGUUUAAAAAUUUCCCACAAGUAAAUCUCAGUUAUUUGAAUAGUUACAAUUGGGGACAGGUGACAUGUUACAAACCAAAGAAUGCUAUUAAGCUAUAUACCCCUCGAGUAGCUAUGCCCAAUAAGACUCUCUGUGCCAAAUAUAAAGGUUGUGAGAGGGUUAAAAAUAUGUGCUGCUUCAAUUUAACAAAUAAUGGGCCAGCUAUAGAACAAGACAUAGAAAAGCUCAAAGAUUUAGCUACAAAGAUUCAUAAUGAACAGAUAGGAUGGGAUUUAUUUAAAUGGUUAACAAGUUGGUUGCCUGACAUUACCUGGGUAAAACAACUGAUACUCUGUAUGAUGGUAUUAGGAUUUUAUAUUGCAAUAACUUGUUGUCUUUUACAAUGUGUUCCUUUAGUAAGGCCCAGAGUCAGAUAUAAGUAAAUCAAAGAUUUGAUUUAGGUCCAAAAAUCAGUGGGGAAUGUAAGAGCCUGACUAAACCAGAGUGACUCCAUGUUGACCAGCAAAUGACCUAGAGACUGUCACUCCCCCCCAUCCCUUAUAGGAUAACUAAUGAUUAAUUGUGAAUUGUUAGGUAACUGCUUUGAAGUAGCUGGGAAACUAAAUGGAAACUGUAGUGAACACAGAGACCCAACAUAAAUCACGCCACUCCUUACAUGCCUGUAGUUGAAUGUUCUGAACUUUAUAAUCUAAGUUAUAAAUGGAACAAUGGAUAAUCAAUCUGCUGAUCAUUAGUAUGUGACGAUCAAGUAUAUGCUUGAUGACCACUAGCUCAGAUCAACUGAUUCUUUGCCUUUGUCCUCUUCCUGUAAGUUUUAAGUGUAACCCCCCCCCCAGCCCUAUAUAAAAUGGCCUCUGUUUCUGAGCUAGCCACCUCUCUGAGCUACUUGGCUUGGGGAGUGCCGUCUGGCCAGACUAAUAAAGGUCUAUUUGCCAAUUUGCCUGGUGUGUUCCUUCCUGGGUGACUCUCGCUGUCCGACAAGCUCCUGGAGCCUCGCUGAGCUUCUGAGCCCAGCACCGUGGAAGCCUCUUGGCUAUUCACGCUCCAGGAGUAAAAGUGAGACUUAAGUCUUACAUUGUUAAGUGAAGUAAAUCAGACAUCGAAGCUUAAAUAUUGCGUGGUUUCUCUUCUAUAAAAAACCCAAAAUAUAAACACCAAAAUAAAAGACAGUUAAUAGAAAAUAGGGAGAGAGAUCUUUUCCAAAUGGGAAAAGAACCAAGAGAUAGAGGGAGAAGGGAUAGAGGGGAGGAGAAAGGUCUAAAAAAAAAAGAACUGAGAUGUAUUAUGUCCAUGUACCAACUCCUCAUGAGGAAUUCAACCAUUAUGUCCUACAAACAUUAAC